rnacentral:rRNA from 1 species
CCUACGGGUGGCAGCAGUGGGGGAUAUUGCACAAUGGAGGAAACUCUGAUGCAGCGACGCCGCGUGAGGGAAGACGGUCCUCGGAUUGUAAACCUCUGUCUUUGGGGAAGAAAAUGACGGUACCCAAAGAGGAAGCUCCGGCUAACUACGUGCCAGCGGCCGCGGUAAUACGUAGGGAGCGAGGGUUGUCCGGAAUUACUGGGUGUAAAGGGAGUGUAGGCGGGCGAGAAAGUUGAAUGUUAAAUCUACAGGCUUAACUUGUAGCUGCGUUUAAAACUUGUUGUCUUGAGUGAAGUAGAGGCAGGCGGAAUUCCUAGUGUAGCGGUGAAAUGCGUAGAUAUUAGGAGGAACACCAGUGGCGAAGGCAGCCUGCUGGGCUUUAACUGACACUGAAGCACGAAAGCGUGGGGAUCAAACAGGAUUAGAUACCCUAGUAGUC